CAAAGGUUGACUCUCUAAUCAAAUGGUGGUACUUAGAGGUGGUCAGGUUGCAUCAGCCGUUAGCACUACUGAUCAUCAUGCUGGAAAUUUUGAAGCCAAAUUUUAUGAUAUGCAAUAAUAGCUCAUGGAUCUCUCACAAAACAAGGAGUAGAAGCAGGCAUUGAGAAAAAGCAUUGUAAGGGAACUUGCUGAUGAUUUGAGAGCUCAGAUCAAAAGGGGAUUAAAGUGCAGCCAAUUAUCCAUACAAAUUGUUUAGUGCGUAAUACUCAGGCAUUUGGAUAUUGUAUGGCAUCCUUUCUUUCAAAUUGGAGAACCUGCAUUUGAAAUUUAAAAUGACUUGAUAUAAACAAUAGAAUGUUAUACCUUAUGAUCUUUUAAUUUUUCCUUUUUUUAUUGUUUUUUUGGAUAAGCAAACUUUAUAUAAAAGGAAGUACAAGAGAUAGAAAAUAACAAACCAAUACAGAAAACAGAAUUGAGUUAAGGAAGAAAACCAGCUUGAGAGUAACGAAAUCUACUCCUAGACCAAGCUAAUCAGAUACCCACAACCCAUUUAAAUCCAAAUGCCCCUUUUCCCAGCCUUGG